rnacentral:sRNA from 1 species
GCCAGGUGUGAUGGUGCACACCUGUAUUCCCAACUACUCAGGAGGCUGAGGUGGGAGGAUUGCUUGGGCCCAGGAGGUUGAGGUUGCAUUGAACCAAUCAGGCCAUUGCCCUCCAGCCUGGACAACAGAGAGAGGGGAGACUCCAUCUAAAAAAAACGGCUGGGCACAGUGGCUCAUGCCUGUAAUCCCAGCACUUUGGGAGGCUGGGGCGAGUGGAUCACCUGAGGUCAGGAGUUCGAGACCAGCCUGGCCAACACAGUGAAACCCCAUCUCU